rnacentral:rRNA from 1 species
UGGUAGUCCACGCCCUAAACGAUGUCUACUAGUUGUCGGGUCUUAAUUGACUUGGUAACGCAGCUAACGCGUGAAGUAGACCGCCUGGGGAGUACGGUCGCAAGAUUAAAACUCAAAGGAAUUGACGGGGACCCGCACAAGCGGUGGAUGAUGUGGAUUAAUUCGAUGCAACGCGAAAAACCUUACCUACCCUUGACAUGGAUGGAAUCCCGGAGAGAUUUGGGAGUGCCCGAAAGGGAACCAUCACACAGGUGCUGCAUGGCUGUCGUCAGCUCGUGUCGUGAGAUGUUGGGUUAAGUCCCGCAACGAGCGCAACCCUCGCCUUUAGUUGCUACCAUUUAGUUGAGCACUCUAGAGGAACUGCCGGUGAUAAGCCGGAGGAAGGUGGGGAUGACGUCAAGUCCUCAUGGCCCUUACACGCUGGGCUACACACGUGCUACAAUGGCGGUGACAGUGGGCAGCAAACUCGCGAGAGUGAGCAAAUCCCAAAAAGCCGUCUCAGUUCGGAUUGUUCUCUGCAACUCGAGAGCAUGAAGGCGGAAUCGCUAGUAAUCGCGGAUCAGCAUGCCGCGGUGAAUACGUUCCCAGGCCUUGUACACACCGCCCGUCACACCAUGGGAGUUGGAUUCACCCGAAGGCGUUGCGCUAACUCGCAAGAGA